CCUACGGGUGGCAGCAGUCGAGAAUCAUUCACAAUGGGGGAAACCCUGAUGUUGCGACGCCGCGUGGGGGAAUGAAGGUCUUCGGAUUGUAAACCCCUGUCAUGUGGGAGCAAAUUAAAAAGAUAGUACCACAAGAGAAAGAGACGCCUAACUCUGUGCCAGCAGCCGCGGUAAUACAGAGGUCUCAAGCGUUGUUCGGAAUCACUGGGCGUAAGGCGUGCGUAGGCUGUUUCGUAGGUCGUGUGUGAAAGGCGCGGGCUCAACCCGCGGACGGCACAUGAUACUGCGAGACUAGAGUAAUGGAGGGGGAACCGGAAUUCUCGGUGUAGCAGUGAAAUGCGUAGAUAUCGAGAGGAACACUCGUGGCGAAGGCGGGUUCCUGGACAUUAACUGACGCUGAGGCACGAAGGCCAGGGGAGCGAAAGGGAUUAGAUACCCUUGUAGUC
rnacentral:rRNA from 1 species